CAACUGGUGUGCCAAGGCAGCACUGUGCUAGCUGUGCUUGCCAGAGCCGGCCUGUGCAUGGUUCCCAUUCCCAAUGGGGCUUUGACCCAGGCAGCACUUUGACAAGGCAUCAUUUUGUUACCUCUGUACACGUUAACUCAAAGACUGCUCUCUAGCUAGGCAAGUUACAUGCAGAGAGGGCCCGUCCAUUGGCCCCAGUGGAGCUAUGGCUCCUAGCGGCACUUUUAGAAGGGGG